rnacentral:rRNA from 1 species
CAGUCGCCACGGUAAUCCGUAGGGUGCAAGCGUUAAUCGGAAUUACUGGGCGCAAAGCGUGCGCAGGCGGUUCGUUAAGACAGAUGUGAAAUCCCCGGGCUUAACCUGGGAACUGCAUUUGUGACUGGCGGGCUAGAGUAUGGCAGAGGGGGGUAGAAUUCCACGUGUAGCAGUGAAAUGCGUAGAGAUGUGGAGGAAUACCGAUGGCGAAGGCAGCCCCCUGGGCCAAUACUGACGCCCAUGCACGAAAGCGUGGGGAGCAAACAGGAUUAGAUACCCGUGUAGUCCCUGUCUCUUAUAC